rnacentral:rRNA from 1 species
GAUGAACGCUAGCGGCAGGCUUAAUACAUGCAAGUCGAGGGGCAUCAAGGUACACGAAAGUGUAUUGUUGGCGACCGGCGGACGGGUGAGUAAUAGGUAGGUAACCUACCUCAUACUGAGGCAUAGCUGGGAGAAAUUCCAGGUAAUUCCUCAUGAGGUUAUAUGACACAUGUGAUAUAAUCAAAGGUAUCGCAAGGUACUGGUAUGAGAUGGGCUUACUGACCAUUAGCUAGUUGGUGAGAUAAGAGCUCACCAAGGCGAAGAUGGUUAGGGGUUUUGAGAGAGAGAUCCCCCACAUUGGAACUGAGAUACGGUCCAGACUCCUACGGGAGGCAGCAGUAGGGAAUAUUGGGCAAUGGGCGGAAGCCUGACCCAGCCAUGCCGCGUGAAGGAAGACGGCCUUAUGGGUUGUAAACUUCUUUACUAUGCGACUAACUAGAUUUACGAGAUAAUUCUAUAGAAUGUAGCAUAGCAAAAGCAACCGG